AACUGGAUAGCCUAGUGGUCAAAAGGCAGCACUUCUAGAAAUGAUGAGGUCCCAGGUUUAAAUCCUGGUCUAGUCA
rnacentral:tRNA from 1 species